UUUCAUUUGAAAAACAGAAGUUUAUAUAACCAUUAACCAUAGAACAUAUGGUACGUAACGAAAAAUCUCAAGAAAUCGAAAAUAUAGUCUUGGAGUAAGUCUCAAGAUUAAUUUCGUCAGUCGUAGUUAGAAUGCAGUGAUCUAUACUUCAAACCUCGCAGGACCGUUCAAAGCACCCAACCGUUGUCAUGUCUCAUAUACGUCGACAAUAAUAAUUGAUUCGUCGUCGACUCUAUGUAUACAUUCUGUGGUGGAUAGUUGGAUAGUUGACAAUUGCUUAAAUAGAGAAAAAAAACCUGUUUUUUUUUUUUACUAAACCAUGGCGAACAGAAAUCACCAAGACCCAAUACGUCAAAGAAUAAAAGUUCAGGUAAAAUCCUUGAAAAUCCGUAUAGAUUCUUCCAGUCAGUCGAUGUAUACGCAAUUCGUAUUAUGUACGACCGGAAAUGUUUUCCCUGACAGCUUUACUAGUGUCUAACCGACAAGUUUACCCUGCUCGUAUUGUACAGUAAAAAUAAACUAAUAAAACUGCUGUCGCUGUUGCAUAACAGCGAAUGACGUAAAAAUGGAAAAUUUUUUUGCAAAAAAAAAAAAAAUAACGAAUGAAUUAUAAGACAUACAGAGGUGGUGCGCGCUGUAAUAAAAAUCGUCACGUGCUAUAUUUUCAUCUCGCAAGCGAUGAAUUCCGAUAUUCACAAGUAUCAUAAUUCAUUUAAACGUUUAUUUAUGACGUCCGUUGAACUAUUCACUAACGCAGGUUGAACUGGAUCAAAUAACGUUUUCAUUAUGCAUGUAGAGCGUAUAACUGAAGGUGGUACUCAAAUUCUUGAAAAAUUUUAUUUGGAUACAAAGCUCACGAACAUUUUUUGAUAAAAACUAACUCCCAUGCGGGUUUUCACUUGAAAAACAGAAGUGUGUGUAUCUACAGGAAACACUUGAGAUUGCUAUAUAUUCUAAGCUGUACCUACCUAUCUAGUUUAAAGUCUUUUGGAUUUACAUAUCAAUUAUUGUACAUUAUAUAUGCUUACUACAAUCAGCGCGGUUUGUAAUACCAUAUUUUACAAGUUUGGAGCAAUUCGACCAAAAAAAUAAUAUUGCAAUUUAUUGUGAAAACAAUUAUUAUUUAAAAUUUAAAAUUUAAAAUACGAAAUGUGAAAAUUGCAUUGACAAAUUAUUGCAGUUAUACUCAUUUAAAUAUAGAUGAAGAAAUUGGAACCAUAAAAAUAUAGAUAAUCAAACUAAUAUAGUUGGCAGUUUACUACAAGGUGAAGUAUUUAAUCAUUCAAAGAGAUUGAUAUCUUAUUUUAAUUAAAAAUAAUAGUUAUUAAAAAUUAUUAUUUUCUUCUUUUUAUUACGACCGCUAAGACAAUAAUGAUUUGUAAACUUAUACAUUUCUAAGAAGUAUUGGUGUACUUUUUAAUGUUAAAAUUAAGUAAAUUAUUUGAUUUAUCAUGCAAUAUAAUUUUAAUGAGAUAAUAAUAUAAAUUGUAAUUAAUAAAAUAAUAAAUUGUCUUAUAAUAGUACAGAAGUAUAAUAUGACGUAAGCAUACUUCACACUAUUUAUACCGAUAAUUAAAAUAUAUGUGUUAAGUUUUUAUAACAGUUAAUUAGAUCCUUCGAUUGAGUGUAUAGAAAUGUUAGGCAAAAACUUAAUUAAUCUAUCAGAGGAAUAAAAACAAAUUUUUUCACAACAGUAAUCCUUAACUUUCAGAUUGUUUAAUUUUCAUAUAUCAUACUUAACUAAAACAACACUCGUAGGGUUAAAUAUAUUUUAACUGUUAACAUUUUUUUGCCCUUAUACUUACAGCUGAUAAAAUUAUAAUACGGAAGUGGGUAAUUUGUUGAAUGAUUAGUAAAACAUUUUAAACAAUAUACUUUCGAAUUUUGUUAUUAGUGUGUUUAUUAUUCAUUAAUUAUCUAUUAUUGAACACGCUAUUUUCUAUAUUUUUGUUUUUGCAGGGUGCUAUUGUAUGUCUAUAUAAGUAAACAGAAAAUCGUUAUUUGAUAUAUAUGUAUUUUGUACACUUAUACAGCAUUCUUAAAUUUAGUUUGGCGAAAA